UCGGGAAUUUUGGGCAAUGGGGGAAACCCUGACCCAGCAACGCCGCGUGAAGGAUGAAGUAUUUCGGUAUGUAAACUUCGAAAGAAUAGGAAGAAUAAAUGACUGUACUAUUUAUAAGGUCCGGCUAACUACGUGCCAGCAGCCGCGGUAAUACGUAGGGACCAAGCGUUGUUCGGAUUUACUGGGCGUAAAGGGCGCGUAGGCGGCAAUUCAAGUCAUCUGUGAAAUCUCCGGGCUUAACUCGGAACGGUCAGAUGAUACUGCUUUGCUAGAGUGCAGAAGGGGCAAUCGGAAUUCUUGGUGUAGCGGUGAAAUGCGUAGAUAUCAAGAGGAACACCUGAGGUGAAGACGGGUUGCUGGGCUGACACUGACGCUGAGGCGCGAAAGCCAGGGGAGCAAACGGGAUUAGAUACCCACGUAGUCCCUGAG
rnacentral:rRNA from 1 species